rnacentral:rRNA from 1 species
ACUACGGUUUGGGGCACUCUAGCGAGACUGCCGGUAAUAAACCGGAGGAAGGUGGGGAUGACGUCAAAUCAUCAUGCCCCUUAUGACCUGGGCUACACACGUGCUACAAUGGUUGGUACAACGAGUUGCGAGUCGGUGACGGCGAGCUAAUCUCUUAAAGCCAAUCUCAGUUCGGAUUGUAGGCUGCAACUCGCCUACAUGAAGUCGGAAUCGCUAGUAAUCGCGGAUCAGCACGCCGCGGUGAAUACGUUCCCGGGCCUU